rnacentral:rRNA from 1 species
UACGUAGGGGGCGAGCGUUGUCCGGAUUCAUUGGGCGUAAAGAGCUCGUAGGCGACUUGGCAAGUCGGGUGUGAAAACUCCAGGCUCAACCUGGAGACGCCACCCGAUACUGCCAUGGCUUGAGUCCGGUAGGGGACCACGGAAUUCCUGGUGUAGCGGUGAAAUGCGCAGAUAUCAGGAGGAACACCGGUGGCGAAGGCGGGUCUCUGGGCCGAUACUGACGCUGAGGAGCGGAAGCGUGGGGAGCGAACAGG